rnacentral:lncRNA from 1 species
CUGCCGGAGAACACAACCCGCCCGCGGUCGCCCCCGGCAGCCAUGAUGGACGUUAUUACACGUCGUGUUGACAACAAUGCGCUGCAAAGUUGUGGUUGAAACUUCUGCUGUGGGAUUUAAGCGGUUUUCAGAGCUCUACAAAGAAAGUGAAAUACAGUUUCAUUGUCUAUAAAUAGAGGUUGAGCUCAUCUUCCCCUGUUGUCAGGUCAGCUUUAACCAUAACGGUUUAAAAAAGACAAGGGUGUACUGUAACCCUCACAUGGGCCUCUGAGGCAACCUGGUCUGAUCAUUACAGCCUCUCGCAGCAAGAAAAGGUACAAACAUUUCGGCCUGGACAUGGACCAGUCUACGAGGGUGGUGGGUCUGGAUGCCCAGGGGAACAUGCUUUUCACCGUGGUGAAGCCGGUCAUGGGCAUCUUCCAGGUUUCCUCGGAUCAAGCUGGCAGCGUGGUGCACGGCGGCAUGGAGCUACAGGGUUUAUCCGAAAACACGUUGGUCCUCCCUCAAGUGCAGCAGGGCCAGGCGCCGCUCGAUCACAACCAGAUGGACAUGCACGCUAUGCAGCCGCACGUUCUGCCCCAGAUGCAGCUGUCCGCCCCGGUCCAGACGGAGGAAGUGCCCCAGAAUCCGGGGCUGCCGCCGUCGAACUCCAGCGCAAAUUCCGUGUCCGGUACCCAGAUGCCCUUUGCAGAGGUGUCGUCCCUCCUGGAUCCGAACAUGAAGGGAUCCAAGGCUCGGAAGUAUCUCAUCUCGUACGAUGAGAUCAAGCGGCGCCUGCAGGCCCCGGAGAAGAUGUCCCUGCGCUCCUUGGCGGCGUACACUCGAGUCAGCCGAGGCCCGGCCAGCAAGAAGACUCUUCUGGAGUCUCUGAACGUCCUCGGCCUCACGCCGAGCACGACUACCUCCGUGUCGUCCUCGUUCUCCAAACUCACCGAAGGUGACACCAGCGCUCUAUGUGAAGAUAUGAAAGAUUUCGCCCAGGACUACAUUGACUACGGCAACAUGGCUAAACAGCUCAUUCCAGAGAUGAAUACAGUUCAACAUUGGUCCAAAAUGAUUGAAACUAAGAAUCACCUCGAGGAUAUGAGGAAGUGUUUCAAGGACCCGGUCAACAGCGGCGCGUUCGACAACGUCACCCACGGCCUCGGUCUGGGAAUGUUGGACGUGGCGCUGGACAUGGUCGUCAUGGUGAUCGAGCAGCAGAUUCGCAUCUUGUCCGGCGUGGCGGCGUCAGACCCGGCCGACUCUGGUCCGCCGAUGCGGCGGAUCCGCAGGCGCCACCGCAAGGCCCACGCGAACGACACGGAGAAGCCCCACAAGGCGUCCGGGGGCGUCAAAGACCAAGGGAAGGGCAUUUCCAAAGGCAAGGGGCGGGGCAAAGCCAGGAAGAAAAUAAGACAGGAGACCGGAGCCGUCGUCCCCGCGGAGAGCCAGGCGGAGCAGUGCAACCCCGACGAUGCGGAGGGCGACAUGCUCACCCUGGUCUCUGUGGGAUACGAGGCCGUUUCCGGCGUUCACGACGCAGCCGGGGCAGUUUGA